AAGCUCAUGACCAGCGUCUACUCGGAAGCUGUAAGCUGGAUCAAAGAGCUCACUCUGGAGGACAACUGCGUGAGGUGUCGCAGCCUGGAGGUCUCUUUUCUCUGCGGGAAGCUCUGCAAAGAAGAUGGCGCUUUGAAACGCAAGGCCAGCUUGGAGUGUAGAUGGAAGUACGAGGAAAAUGGUCUGGCGAACAGGAUGCUGGGCAUUCUCCGAAACUUUGCGGUACAAAUCUGAGCGAUCCAAGGUGAUCUUUCACUCUUGUGUGACUUAACUUUGUUUCUUUCCUUUUACCAAGUGAUCUAUCUUAGAGUUUUGGCGAGACCAUUUUGAUAUCACUGCAAGUUAAAGAGAUCUUUGGAAAGCUUGGAGUGCUUAAACAAGCUUAUCAGGUUAUGGGCCGACAUCAGAUGUAACAAGAGUUCGUUAACACGUCCUCCAUCCAAGCGCCAAAAGAAUAAUCUUCGAUAAGUGGAGCACAUGGGUGAUAAUAUUAAUUAUACGUUAGUCUAAUCACAGCUUUAGCCA